AAAAGCGUCCGUUUAUUUGGAAUGUCAAAUUUGUUCAUUGGUUUCAAUAUUGGCUAAGAGAUUGAUUAUUUAAUAGCAUAACUUGAAGUUUAAACGAAAACCAUGCCGACUUCUGAUAAAGACACUGGUGAAGCUAGUCAAUCAAAAAAAGCACGAGUGGACCAUCAAACAAUGCCAACUAGACAGUACCUGGACCAGGCAGUAGUUCCCGUUGUCUUACAAGCGAUGUCUGCAGUAGCCAAAGAAAGACCAGCUGACCCCUUAGAGUUUAUUGCAAAUUAUUUGCUUAAAGAAGCAAAAACUCGAACAACCCAGAAUUCCGAAACAGCCAAUCAAGCCCUACCCUCAGCGUGUGCUUGACAUUCUUUUGACAAUCUCACUUCAACUUUAGACUCCAUUAAUCUAUGAAAACUGCAUUUUAUUUCAGCUCUUGACAGUAUGUGAUUCAAAAUAGAACCACCAACCAAAAAGAACCCUGAAAAUAGAAACCCUUUUUGCAGAACAGUUUACCGCUCCAGUAUAUUCUCGAUUGGUGUUCGGCAAUUUAUUCCAACUAAUAUCGUAUCUCCCGCGGACUUCUCCGGAACUUAUCGUUCUCAGCCGACGCCAGGGCUAUUAUAGAACGAAGUCCAUGUUCCUUACUAAAUCCUGUGGAUUAUAUGCCGCUGAAAAAGGAAUAAAUCAGUAUUAUUCAA